GCUCCAGUAGCGUAUACUAAUGUUGCUGCAGUUAAAAAGCUCGUAGUUGGAUUUCUGGUUGAUAGUUUAGGUCCGGCCGAUCAAAAGGCUGCGUAUCUUUCGCUAUCUGCCAUCCUAUCGUGGUUGGAGCAAUCCAGGAUUACGAUACAUUUACUUUGAAAAAAUUAGAGUGUUUAAAGCAAGCUUGCGCGAUGAAUACA
rnacentral:rRNA from 1 species